GCCUGGCCCUAAAUCUUGAUGCUCGAUAUUACCUGAGCAUCCGCCCGAGAACUACGAGCACAAACGCUUAAAACUCUAAGGACUUGGCGGUGCUCCAAACCCACCUAGAGGAGCCUGUUCUGUAAUCGAUGAUCCACGAUAUUACCUGACCAUUCCUUGCACGAAGCAGCCUAUAUACCGCCGUCGCCAGCCCACCUACCCUGACAGCCCAACAGUGGACGCAAUAGCCUAACCCGCUAGCAAGACAGGUCAAGGUAUAGCCCACGGAAUGGAAGCAAUGGGCUACAUUUUCUAGACUAGAACAUACGGAUAAGGGUAUGAAACUGCCCUUGGAAGGCGGAUUUAGCAGUAAAGAGAGACAAUUGAGCCCUCUUUAAGCCGGCUCUGGAGCACGU
rnacentral:rRNA from 1 species